UGGUAAUGCCCGAAGUCGGUUUAUAAAGAAACUGCCUAAGGCAGGACUGGUGACUGGGGUUAAGUCGUAACAAGGUAUCCCUACGAGAACGUGGGGAUGGAUUACCUCCUUUCUACGGAGUACACUUGUCUUUUAUCACUAUAAAAAAAAGACUUAUAACCAAAAUUACUAGACCUAUAUUUAUUUAUAAACGUCAUGGCUUUUAUUAAUAGGUCAAAAGCUAUAUAUCUAGUUUUGAGAGAACAUUCUCUCAUAUGUUCUUUGAAAACUGAAUAGUAAAAUAUUUUUCGAUAUUUACAACGACAUCAAAAAUCAAAUUAAUGGUUAAUUUGUUUUGAUUCAUCGAGUAAGUCAUAUUUAAUAUGAUUCAUUGAAAUGUCUUAAAAUACACAUCUAAAACUAACAACAAUAGGAAAAUACUACUUUUAAAUAAGGAAGAGUUUGUGGUGGAUGCCUUGGGUCUG
rnacentral:misc_RNA from 1 species